UCCAUGUUAGGUACAACAACUAUGACCGGGCUGUCAUCAAUACCGUUCCUUAUGAUGUCGUCCAUCGCUGGUAUACAGCACACCGGACUCUAACGAUAGAGUUGAGGAGACCUGAGAAUGAGUUUUGGGUUAAACUAAAGCCUGGCAGGGUCCUAUUUAUAGACAACUGGCGUGUCCUACAUGGCAGGGAAUGCUUCACUGGCUACCGCCAACUCUGUGGCUGCUAUUUAACAAGGGAUGACGUAUUAAACACUGCUCGCCUCUUGGGGCUUCAGGCUUAAAAUUGACAGCAUUGGGAUUAUGAAUACACCUGGCACCCCGGCUACCAGAAUUUCAUAUGGGCAGAAUAAUAUUUAAUAUUGUGUCAAACUCUACUUCAGAUUGUCUCCUUAUCCCAUCCCACAAAACAGAAGCUGUCCCUUUCUCUAGCAGGGGAGACUUGUUAGAGAGGGGGGACUCUGAGCUAUCUAAUGUCAGACUUCUAGUGGGGCAGCUCUCUUCCUCAUGUUAUAACAUGGAUCCACUUGUUUUAUUUAAACCUUUUAAUAUAAUUUUGGUCAAUCUCCUUCAGAAAUAUAAUCUCCAUAUUGAUAGGAAAGCAAUAAUUGCCAUGAGGUAGUGAUUUUUUUUUUUCCCCAAGUAGAUCAGUUAGAAAGAAAUGCAUUCUAGAAAUAACAAAAAUCCUGAUAAAGCAACAAUUUGCAAAAUGUUUGGUCUUAGGACACCUUAACACUCUUAAAAGUUAUUGAAGGCCCCAAGGAGCUCUUGGGUGUGGGUUCUAUCUAUUGAUACUAAUUGUCUUAGGUAUUAAGACUGGGAAAUAUUUAAAACUCAAGAACGCAGAAGCACACAUCCCUCAGCUAUCAGAGAGAUGACAUAACCAUAUGUCAUGUAGCCUCUGGAAAAGUCCUCUGUCUCCUCACGAGAUAAUGAGAGGGGGAGAAAAAGCUACUAUUGCCUUUGUAACUUCCACUUAGCCUACUACAGGGCUAUGCACAUCUGGGUUUCCAAAAGUCUGCUUAAUUUCAAAAGAAAAAUGCUUAAUUGAAUGUAACUCAUCUUGGUGUUAUUAUACAAAAUAAUUUUUAAUCUUCAGACCCACUAAAAAGGCCUCAGGGACUCCUCCAGGGGUCUUCAGACCAUAUUUUGAGAACCCAUGGGCUAGCGACUACCUUGAGACAGUCCUUUACAUAGGCCUGGGGAUUAAAGGGUUUAGCUGAAACCCUAGAUUUUUCUCUAUAGCCUAAUAGAACUCCAAACAUUAUAAGAAUUGCUUGGUAGCAUAAGCUCAGGGAUAAGGUGGGAAUUGAGUUCAAAUAUAGUGUUUUAUCUUCGAUACAAAUCAUCUCUAUAGGAGUUAAAUUAGGAAGUCACAACAGCUCCUGUUGAACAAACUCAUCAGUGUGGUAAUCCUAUGAGGGAUAAUUGCAGAAAGGUUUUAGAGACUUGUGAGGUUCCAUAUGAUAAUUCUUUACACACACACACACACACACACACACCCCACCACCACCACCACCAAGAGAAGUACACAGGGCUAUCCUGUAAUAUUAUUCAGGGAAAUCAGCAUGAUAGAUGCCGUGCCUCCAGAGAGUUCUCUGGAGAUUACUACCCAAAUGUGUAUUUUGGCAAUUUGGUGGUAUUUAGGAUGUAAUAUGUUUUCCUCCAUUUCUGCUAAUUUUUUUCUUUCUCUCUCUGUCUCUCUCAUAAAAUACUAUACAUGUUAAUUACCAAGAUUUGAAUGAGUCAAA